GACGUAGGGCGCGAGCGUUGUCCGGAUUUAUUGGCGUAAAGAGCUCGUAGGCGGCUUGUUCGCGUCGACCGUGAAAACUUGGGGCUCAACCCCAAGCCUGCGGUCGAUACGGGCAGGCUCGAGUUCGGUAGGGGAGACUGGAAUUCCUGGUGUAGCGGUGAAAUGCGCAGAUAUCAGGAGGAACACCGGUGGCGAAGGCGGGUCUCUGGGCCGAAUACUGACGCUGAGGAGCGAAAGCGUGGGGAGCGGAACAGG
rnacentral:rRNA from 1 species